CUUUCUCUUCACGCAAAAACAGAAACAAAAGCACCAUGACCCCAUUUCAUUUCUCUCUCUCUCUCUCGUGGAACACACCACUCAACUUCCAUUUUUCAAGCUAGAAACAACACCCCACAUGUAACAUCCCAACCUUAAUUAAUAGAGAAAUAUUAAUUUGAGAUAAUCCUUGGAAAUUAAAUGAAAAUAAGUGAAUAAGUAUAAAAGGAUAAUUAAAGGACACAAGGAAACUCUAGUGGUAAGUGGCAAGGGCAAGAUGGUAAACUAUCAAAGAAGGCUAUAUAAGGACAAGAGGAGACCCAACUUUAUUCACUAAUUCAUUUUCAGCAAAGUUGAUUUCACUUUCCCCUCCCACUCUCACGCCAAACCACAUCAAACAAUGAUAAACUAUUAUGCCAAGAGAGACUAGUGGGACUAUUUAAUUUACCAUAAAAGCCUAACAACCAACCCUUCCAAUUCAUUCUUUCACUUUGCAAAAGUCAGAACAUAGCACU
rnacentral:lncRNA from 1 species